UGCCUGAAGUGGCCGCUCCCCUCCCGCGGGCUCCUCGACUGCCCUCCUCCCAUCUCAACCAGAUCCCGCGCAGAACAAAAAAAAGAACCAAAUCCAAUCGAUCGACCAAAUCACCCAACCCUCUUCCGCGUAUAUCUACUUCGGGUGCGAACGCGGCGGCGGCGGUGGCGGUGGCUGAGCCGAGUCGACGGCCGCGGGCUACGACGACGACGACGACCAAGGUGAGUACGCAACGCAACCGCUCGCGGCGCCGCCUCCGCGGCUUGGUUUUGGGGUGGAAGAGACGCGGAGGCUUCGAGUCUCCUUCGCCCGCGCCUCGGCGUGAGCUGGUUGUUGGUUGGUUGGACGCUUCUGCACUGCAGCGCGGUGGUGGUGGUGGUGUCACGGGGCAAGGGGAACGAAA
rnacentral:lncRNA from 1 species